GAUGAAGAACGUAGUGAAAUGCGAUAAGUAAUGUGAAUUGCAGAAUUCAGUGAAUCAUCGAAUCUUUGAACGCACAUUGCGCCCGGCAGUACUCUGCCGGGCAUGCCUGUUCGAGCGUCAUUUCAACCCUCAAGCCCUGCUUGGUGUUGGGGCCCCACGGCAGCCGUGGGCCCUGAAAGGAAGUGGCGGGCUCGCUACAACUCCGAGCGUAGUAAUUCAUUAUCUCGCUUAGGGCGUUGGGCGGCGCUCCAGCCGUUAAAGAACCAUCUUUAACUCAAGGUUGACCUCGGAUCAGGUAGGAAUACCCGCUGAACUUAAGCAUAUCAAUAAGCGGAGGA
rnacentral:misc_RNA from 1 species